rnacentral:rRNA from 1 species
UACAGGAGGGUGCAAGCGUUAAUCGGAAUUACUGGGCGUAAAGCGUGCGUAGUCGGUUAUUUAAGUCGGGCGUGAAAGCCCCGGGCUCAACCUGGGAAUUGCGUUCGAUACUGGAUAGCUAGAGUCCGGAAGGGGCGAGUGGAACUCCUGGUGUAGCGGUGAAAUGCGCAGAUAUCAGGAAGAACACCAAUGGCGAAGGCAGCUCGCUAGGACGGUACUGACGCUGAGGCGCGAAAGCGUGGGGAGCAAACAGG